GUUGUUGAGUUAUAUAAGAAGGUUCCUUGACUGUAAAAUUUAUUAUGAACCUGAAGUUAAAUCGAUGGGGUUCACUAGUAGUGAUUAGGGAGGAUCUUUUGAUGACAUGAACAGCACUUAUGAGCAUGUUUUUCACCUUGGAUCAUGUAUGAUAAGCUAGAACUCCAAGAAACGGUAAUUGUGGCACUAUCUGCAGCAUGUGU
rnacentral:lncRNA from 1 species